AUUGAACGCUGGCGGCAGGCCUAACACAUGCAAGUCGAACGAGUGGCGGACGGGUGAGUAAUGUCUGGGAAACUGCCCGAGGGAGGGGGAUAACUACUGGAAACGGUAGCCAAUACCGCAUACCAUCGGAUGUGCCCAGAGGGGAUUAGCUUGUAGGUGAGGUAACGGCUCACCUAGGCGACGAUCCCUAGCUGGUCUGCGAGGUUGACCAGCCACACUGGAACUGAGACACGGUCCAGACUCCUACGGGAGGCAGCAGUGGGGAAUAUUGCACAAUGGGGGCAAGCCUGAUGCAGCCAUGGCGGGUGUAUUAAGAAGGCCUUCGGGUUGUAAAGUACUUGCAGCGGGGAGGCGUUACCCGCAGAGGAAGCACCGGCUAACUCCGUGCCAGCAGCCGCGGUAAUUC
rnacentral:rRNA from 1 species